GGCCACCUCCGCGGCGCCUCGUGUCAUCCCCCACCUCCUCGCCUCUCCUCCUCGUCGUCGUCGGCGGCGGGCCGGAGCCACAUGGGCCAGACCCUGCGCGGCGCCGCGGGGCGCGUGAGGGCCCCACCCACCCCGGCGCCCCCUCGUCCUCAUCACCUUCCGCCUGCGCCGCCGUCGCCGGCGGGCGCUGGCGGCGCGGCGGCACAGGAUCGUCUCCGUGUCUUCCAGGAUGAUUUCGUGAAAUCGGAUGUCACAACACAACCAAAAGAUGCCCCUGGUGUACUUAAGGAGCGUGAUCCAAGUUAUGAUGAGAUGCUUAAGCACAUGGUUGGGAGAAUCACUACAAAGCCUGGAGGAAAGCCAGAAAUGGGUGAAGCUUUCGUCGUAGAUCAGUACAACAGGCCACUCCCAAGGGUUAGAACAUCCAGACCUGAACCCGGGGAAGGCGGACACAGACAACUACCUCCAGGAACCAUUAGCGUCGCUCAUGUCCAUGAAAUCAUCCAACUGUACCAAGGAAAGUCCAGUAACCACCCUGGCCCAAUGAGCGUGGACAAGAUUGCCUCAAAGUUCAGAGUCGAAGCCUCAGUGGUUCAAAACAUCGUGCAGUUCGUCUCACUUCCGCAGGAAGAACAUGUUACCAAGAAAGAGGAAUACUGAGAGUCUAUAGGAUAUAGCGAUCUUGCAGGCUGUCUAACACAAUUCCUUUGUUCAUGUUUCCGAGUUUGUUCUGUGGUGGACUACUGGGAACACAAUGUUUCGUAGCUUAGGUUCUUUCUUCUUGUUGUUGCUGCUGCUGCUGAGAUAGUGAGAUGAGAUGAUGAUGGAACUGGAAAUAUAUAUGCUGUAUGAAUAAAGGUUGACAUCUGCUACAUCUUGGAAACAUCAUUAAUUGGCUGUGUACUGAGAAAAACACCAAACGUAAAUCCAGACUUUUUAGGUGCGUUAUUCAUUUUCGUCUUUUUAUUUUUA